UCUCCGUAGGUGAACCUGCGGAGGGAUCAUUACAAGUGACCCCGGUCUUACCACCGGGAUGUUCAUAACCCUUUGUUGUCCGACUCUGUUGCCUCCGGGGCGACCCUGCCUUCGGGCGGGGGCUCCGGGUGGACACUUCAAACUCUUGCGUAACUUUGCAGUCUGAGUAAACUUAAUUAAUAAAUUAAAACUUUUAACAACGGAUCUCUUGGUUCUU
rnacentral:misc_RNA from 1 species